rnacentral:rRNA from 1 species
UACGUAGGGUGCAGGCGUUAAUCGGAAUUACUGGGCGUAAAGCGUGCGCAGGCGGUUUGCUAAGACAGGUGUGAAAUCCCCGGGCUUAACCUGGGAACUGCGCUUGUUACUGGCAGGCUUGAGUGUGGCAGAGGAGACUGGAAUUCCUGGUGUAGCAGUGAAAUGCGUAGAUAUCAGGAGGAAUACCGAUGGCGAAGGCAGGUCUCUGGGCUGACACUGACGCUCAUGCACGAAAGCGUGGGGAGCAAACAGG